AUGUCUUCUGUUGGUGGUAUGAAGGUUAGAGUUGGUGCAAUUGAACAAAAUGAAGUGGCAUUGGAAUUUACAAUCUUGUUAAGCAUGAUGCAAGUGUCUUGAGGGCAUUUAAUCCUGUUCACGUCUAUUUAUACUUCAAGAGAAACCUAG